AACGAACGCUGGCGGCAUGCCUAACACAUGCAAGUCGAACGAUUGCCUUCGGGUGAUAGUGGCGCACGGGUGCGUAACGCGUGGGAAUCUGCCCUUAGGUUCGGAAUAACAGCUGGAAACGGCUGCUAAUACCGGAUGAUAUCGCGAGAUCAAAGAUUUAUCGCCUGAGGAUGAGCCCGCGUUGGAUUAGGUAGUUGGUGGGGUAAAGGCCUACCAAGCCGACGAUCCAUAGCUGGUCUGAGAGGAUGAUCAGCCACACUGGGACUGAGACACGGCCCAGACUCCUACGGGAGGCAGCAGUGGGGAAUAUUGGACAAUGGGCGCAAGCCUGAUCCAGCAAUGCCGCGUGAGUGAUGAGGGCCCUAGGGUUGUAAAGCUCUUUUACCCGGGAAGAUAAUGACUGUACCGGGAGAAUAAGCCCCGGCUAACUCCGUG
rnacentral:rRNA from 1 species